rnacentral:rRNA from 1 species
GUUGAACGCUGGCGGCGUGCCUAAUACAUGCAAGUCGAGCGAACAGACGAGGAGCUUGCUCCUUUGACGUUAGCGGCGGACGGGUGAGUAACACGUAGGUAACCUACCUAUAAGACUGGGAUAACUUCGGGAAACCGGAGCUAAUACCGGAUAAUAUUUCGAACCGCAUGGUUCGAUAGUGAAAGAUGGCUUUGCUAUCACUUAUAGAUGGACCUGCGCCGUAUUAGCUAGUUGGUAAGGUAACGGCUUACCAAGGCAACGAUACGUAGCCGACCUGAGAGGGUGAUCGGCCACACUGGAACUGAGACACGGUCCAGACUCCUACGGGAGGCAGCAGUAGGGAAUCUUCCGCAAUGGGCGAAAGCCUGACGGAGCAACGCCGCGUGAGUGAUGAAGGUCUUCGGAUCGUAAAACUCUGUUAUUAGGGAAGAACAAACGUGUAAGUAACUGUGCACGUCCUGACGGUACCUAAUCAGAAAGCCACGGCUAACUACGUG